AACGAACGCUGGCGGCAGGCUUAACACAUGCAAGUCGAACGCCCCGCAAGGGGAGUGGCAGACGGGUGAGUAACGCGUGGGAACAUACCCUUUCCUGCGGAAUAGCUCUGGGAAACUAGAAUUAAUACCGCAUACGCCCUACGGGGGAAAGAUUUAUCGGGGAAGGAUUGGCCCGCGUUGGAUUAGCUAGUCGGUGGGGUAAAGGCCUACCAAGGCGACGAUCCAUAGCUGGUCUGAGAGGAUGAUCAGCCACAUUGGGCCUGAGACACGGCCCAAACUCCUACGGGAGGCAGCAGUGGGGAAUAUUGGACAAUGGGCGCAAGCCUGAUCCAGCCAUGCCGCGUGAGUGAUGAAGGCCUUAGGGUUGUAAAGCUCUUUCACCGAUGAAGAUAAUGACGGUAGUCGGAGAAGAAGCCCCGGCUAACUUCGUGCCAGCAGCCGCCGUAACAC
rnacentral:rRNA from 1 species